rnacentral:misc_RNA from 1 species
AACGCAUAUUGCACCUUAGAGUAUUCUUUAAGGUAUACCUGUUUGAGCGUCGUUUACAAUCUAAAGCAUUGCUUUUUGUUAGGAUUUGGUUAGCAGUUAACCAAUUACUUAAACGAAGUGGCGUUAUUUGUUAGUCAAAACACAGUGAAAAUGUGUGCUUGUCGAGCAAAUGAUUUUGCCUAUUGAACAUAUAUAUAUAUACUGUUCGACCUCAAAUCAAGUAAGACUACCCGCUGAACUUAA